rnacentral:rRNA from 2 species
GAAAGGUCAGAAAAAUAAGGUUAAGUUAAUAAGGGCGCACGGUGGAUGCCUUGGCACUAGGAGCCGAAGAAGGACGUGACAAACGACGAUAUGCCUUGGGUAGCUGUAAGUAAGCGAUGAUCCAGGGAUUUCCGAAUGGGGGAACCCAACAGGUACUACCUGUUACCCGCAUCUGUUAAGGAUGUGAGGAGGAAGACGCAGUGAACUGAAACAUCUAAGUAGCUGCAGGAAGAGAAAGCAAAAGCGAUUGCCUUAGUAGCGGCGAGCGAAACGGCAGGAGGGCAAACCGAAGAGUUUACUCUUCGGGGUUGUAGGACUGCAAUGUGGACUCAAAGAUUAUAGAAGAAUGAUUUGGGAAGAUCAGCCAAAGAGAGUAAUAGCCUCGUAUUUAAAAUAGUCUUUGUACCUAGCAGUAUCCUGAGUACGGCGGGACACGUGAAAUCCCGUCGGAAUCUGGGAGGACCAUCUCCCAACCCUAAAUACUCCCUAGUGACCGAUAGUGAACCAGUACCGUGAGGGAAAGGUGAAAAGCACCCCGGGAGGGGAGUGAAAUAGAACCUGAAACCGUGUGCCUACAACAAGUUCGAGCCCGUUAAUGGGUGAGAGCGUGCCUUUUGUAGAAUGAACCGGCGAGUUACGUUAUGAUGCGAGGUUAAGUUGAAGAGACGGAGCCGUAGGGAAACCGAGUCUGAAUAGGGCGCCUUAGUAUCAUGACGUAGACCCGAAACCAUGUGACCUACCCAUGAGCAGGUUGAAGGUGCGGUAAGACGCACUGGAGGACCGAACCAGGGCACGUUGAAAAGUGCUUGGAUGACUUGUGGGUAGCGGAGAAAUUCCAAACGAACUUGGAGAUAGCUGGUUCUCUCCGAAAUAGCUUUAGGGCUAGCGUCGACAUUAGAGAUUCUUGGAGGUAGAGCACUGUUUGGGUGAGGGGUCCAUCCCGGAUUACCAAUCUCAGAUAAACUCCGAAUGCCAAUGAAUUAUGGUCGGCAGUCAGACUGCGAGUGCUAAGAUCCGUAGUCGAAAGGGAAACAGCCCAGACCACCAGCUAAGGUCCCAAAAUAAUUGUUAAGUGGAAAAGGAUGUGGGGUUGCACAGACAACUAGGAUGUUAGCUUAGAAGCAGCUAUUCAUUCAAAGAGUGCGUAAUAGCUCACUAGUCGAGUGACCCUGCGCCGAAAAUGUACCGGGGCUAAAACAAUUUACCGAAGCUGUGGAUACCUUUAUAGGUAUGGUAGGAGAGCGUUCUAUGUGUGAUGAAGGUAUACCGUGAGGAGUGCUGGAAUGCAUAGAAGUGAGAAUGCCGGUAUGAGUAGCGAAAGACAGGUGAGAAUCCUGUCCACCGUAAGACUAAGGUUUCCAGGGGAAGGCUCGUCCGCCCUGGGUUAGUCGGGACCUAAGGAGAGACCGAAAGGUGUAUCCGAUGGACAACAGGUUGAUAUUCCUGUACUAGAGUAUGUAGUGAUGGAGGGACGCAGUAGGCUAACUAAAGCAGACGAUUGGAAGUGUCUGUCUAAGCAGUGAGGUGUGAACUGAGUCAAAUGCUUAGUUCUAUAACAUUGAGCUGUGAUGGGGAGCGAAGUUUAGUAGCGAAGUUAGUGAUGUCACACUGCCAAGAAAAGCUUCUAGCGUUUAAACAUACUCUACCCGUACCGCAAACCGACACAGGUAGUCGAGGCGAGUAGCCUCAGGUGAGCGAGAGAACUCUCGUUAAGGAACUCGGCAAAAUGACCCCGUAACUUCGGGAGAAGGGGUGCUGACUUUAAGUCAGCCGCAGUGAAUAGGCCCAAGCAACUGUUUAUCAAAAACACAGCUCUCUGCUAAAUCGUAAGAUGAUGUAUAGGGGGUGACGCCUGCCCGGUGCUGGAAGGUUAAGAGGAGUGCUUAGCGUAAGCGAAGGUAUGAAUUGAAGCCCCAGUAAACGGCGGCCGUAACUAUAACGGUCCUAAGGUAGCGAAAUUCCUUGUCGGGUAAGUUCCGACCCGCACGAAAGGCGUAAUGAUUUGGGCACUGUCUCAACGAGAGACUCGGUGAAAUUUUAGUACCUGUGAAGAUGCAGGUUACCCGCGACAGGACGGAAAGACCCCAUGGAGCUUUACUGCAGUUUGAUAUUGAGUGUCUGUACCACAUGUACAGGAUAGGUAGGAGUCUAAGAGAUCGGGACGCCAGUUUCGAAGGAGACGUUGUUGGGAUACUACCCUUGUGUUAUGGCCACUCUAACCCGGAUAGGUGAUCCCUAUCGGAGACAGUGUCUGACGGGCAGUUUGACUGGGGCGGUCGCCUCCUAAAAGGUAACGGAGGCGCCCAAAGGUUCCCUCAGAAUGGUUGGAAAUCAUUCGCAGAGUGUAAAGGUAUAAGGGAGCUUGACUGCGAGAGCUACAACUCGAGCAGGGACGAAAGUCGGGCUUAGUGAUCCGGUGGUUCCGUAUGGAAGGGCCAUCGCUCAACGGAUAAAAGCUACCCUGGGGAUAACAGGCUUAUCUCCCCCAAGAGUUCACAUCGACGGGGAGGUUUGGCACCUCGAUGUCGGCUCGUCGCAUCCUGGGGCUGUAGUCGGUCCCAAGGGUUGGGCUGUUCGCCCAUUAAAGCGGCACGCGAGCUGGGUUCAGAACGUCGUGAGACAGUUCGGUCCCUAUCCGUCGCGGGCGUAGGAAAUUUGAGAGGAUCUGCUCCUAGUACGAGAGGACCAGAGUGGACUUACCGCUGGUGUACCAGUUGUCUUGCCAAAGGCAUCGCUGGGUAGCUAUGUAGGGAAGGGAUAAACGCUGAAAGCAUCUAAGUGUGAAACCCACCUCAAGAUGAGAUUUCCCAUGAUUUUAUAUCAGUAAGAGCCCUGAGAGAUGAUCAGGUAGAUAGGUUAGAAGUGGAAGUGUGGCGACACAUGUAGCGGACUAAUACUAAUAGCUCGAGGACUUAUCCAA